AGGAUCAGAAAAAUGACGAGGGAGUUGGUAAUUCUUGGUGGCAGUGUCCCGAGAGGGGAAGCAGGGGUCUCUGGUGGCCUGUUCUUGCUUUGCAUGAUUGUUUUCUCCCUCUCAAUUAUCGCAAUGGUCAUCUUCGCUUGUGGCGAUGACAACUCUGAAAAGCCUCGCCGGAAUCAUGCUGCAGGUGGUUUUUGGGCGGGCGAUGGCGGCGGAGGCGGAGGCGAUGGUGGUUGUGGGGGAGGUGGCGGUGGAGGUUGUGGGGGCGGUGGCGGUUGCUGAGGAUAUCUGAAUUUAUGUGCGUCAUUGAUUAAUUUCAACAGCAACGAUUAAUAACUUUGUAGUUAUAACGUCCUGACAAACUUGUUUGUUGUAUUUGUAUUUUUUAUGAGAUUUGUUGAUAAUAUAUAGUUGCACCAUAUCCAUGUUCAUGUCUUUGUAACCAUGAUUAAAUAUAGUCAGGGGUUAAACUAUUUCAUAAUCUUUGCAGAUUUUUUUUUUAAUAAUUAGAGAAGGAGGGAUUCAAACUUUANCCCUUUUCAAAAAAUAAAAAAAAAAUAUCUGUUAUCUAGAGCAAGCUAAAAUAAGGUACAAGGAUCAGAAAAAUGACGAGGGAGUUGGUAAUUCUUGGUGGCAGUGUCCCGAGAGGGGAAGCAGGGGUCUCUGGUGGCCUGUUCUUGCUUUGCAUGAUUGUUUUCUCCCUCUCAAUUAUCGCAAUGGUCAUCUUCGCUUGUGGCGAUGACAACUCUGAAAAGCCUCGCCGGAAUCAUGCUGCAGGUGGUUUUUGGGCGGGCGAUGGCGGCGGAGGCGGAGGCGAUGGUGGUUGUGGGGGAGGUGGCGGUGGAGGUUGUGGGGGCGGUGGCGGUUGCUGAGGAUAUCUGAAUUUAUGUGCGUCAUUGAUUAAUUUCAACAGCAACGAUUAAUAACUUUGUAGUUAUAACGUCCUGACAAACUUGUUUGUUGUAUUUGUAUUUUUUAUGAGAUUUGUUGAUAAUAUAUAGUUGCACCAUAUCCAUGUUCAUGUCUUUGUAACCAUGAUUAAAUAUAGUCAGGGGUUAAACUAUUUCAUAAUCUUUGCAGAUUUUUUUUUUAAUAAUUAGAGAAGGAGGGAUUCAAACUUUACUUUUUAAAUAGGGAGAUUAUGCAUUAACUAAUAAAUCAAAUGUUCGGAUGCAUAAGUUUUACAAAAUUUAAAAACUAAUAAGUUCAAAAUUUAAAAGAUAAAUGAUUAAAGAUGAAGCGUAACUUUAUUAUAUUAUCAAUAAGAUAUUUUAUAGUAAUUUUUGUUUGUGAUAAUUGUAGCCAAAUUAUAUAAAUUUAAAAUCAUUAUGGGAUCAUGAUGAGGUCUCGUUUCAGUAAUAAAGAAAAUGUUUUGAAACCUUUAAAUCUAAGGUUUAAGUCUUAUCAACUGUGGGUUUAAUCCAAUUUUAUAUUUGUUUUAUUUGAUUUCAACUAAAAGUUUAACAAAGUGACAUGGAAUUUUCUAUAGAUAAGUUUUGGUUGAUUCUUUAUAUUUUAUAAAUCUAUUUAUUGAACUCUAUAUGUAUAAACAAGUUGCAAUUUUCAAUUUAAUUCUGGUUUAAUUAUUUUCAUUUAAGAAUUUGAUUAUAUGAUAUGUGCACCUUCUUUUGUCUUUUCUCUUCAACAAUAUUCCUUUUUUUUUUAUACAAACGAUGUAAUUGUAAGGUAUAUUUUUCUUUUAUCUUUCAUCAUUUAUUAUAUACAUAUAUAGAUAUAUUCCAUUCUGUCAAAUAUUUUGAUAAAUUCAAAAAAUUAAAUCAUUUGUUUCAUUAAAACUCAUAACUCAUCUUUGUAUGCGCUUUAAAAAUUCUCACUUCAUUUUAUUUUUUUGAUUUAAAAUAUAUUUUAUUAACUUCAGUUUUACUGCAUCAACCGGUUUCGAGGUAAACCCUUCCUGAGCGCGUGAGCUUGUAAGUUGUGGUUCAAAGGGCAUCAUUCAGGCUCCAAAAUCCAAACAAAAUCCAGCAUCUUUGGUAUUGUGGGCUUGUUGCCUAUCUAAAAAUGAUCGUACUAAAGUGAGAGAGUGCUUAAGGAUCAAGUUCGCAAUUCUAUCAAAAUAUUUUUUCUUAAUAAAAUUUUACAUCAUGUAAAAGUCAUUAAGUCUGCUCCCAUUUGUUCUCUCCUCUAUCAUACAUGUGUUACACUUUUAGCAUGAAACGAUAAUCUACUAUCUUUACAAGUAAAAUACCUAUCACAUGAUAAAUUUGUAAAAAUAUUCUUUGUGAUAAGAGAGAGGAAGCAUUAUAAAUAAAGACGGCGAAGAGAAAAAUAAGAACAGAUCUUGAAAUAUUAAGUAUUGUAAUGGAUGAAAGAGAAUAAGUGAAUAAUAUAAUAAUUAUUGAAAAUAUAAAUAAUAGGAAGAUGGUAAAAUAAUUGUAUUGCAAAAAUUAUUGGGUAAGAUUGAGAAUAGGUAAAGAAUGAAUGAAUGGUAGAGUAUAAUUGAAAAUAAUUAAGACAAAUGAAAUAGAAAAGAGUUAGAGAGAAAAUAUUUAGAGAGAGAAGCUCCGAGCGAAAAUAUAUCUUAUUCUUAUAGCCCCUUAUGACUCCACUUAUUUUUGGAGGGACAUGUUGUCUCUGAAUCUUCCCUAAGCACUAUGUUGUUUAUUUUCACUGAAUGGUGCUACGUAAGGUGCUUCUAGGUGAAUAUUUUUUUACCAGUUCAAUAACUUGAAUUCUGAAACCUUUUUAGCCAUCUCCUUAUUACAUAUAAUGGACUUUCUUUGAGGAAAAAAAAAAAUUAAUGCCACAUAGCAAGCAAUUCAGCCUCCAUUUAAUUGUCUGAUUGAUUUGUCAAAUCUUUUGGAGUCAUUAUUUCUUAGUCAGCCCGGCUUAAAUGUAACUCUUCUGAAUAAGAUAAAAGAACAUUCCUUGAAACUUCAUUUUUUUUAUUAAAAAAAAAGUAUAUCUCUAUGGUUACUGGUUUGAAUAAAAUCUAGGGUCGGAAAGACUAAAACUGGUAUAAAUUGAUUGUCCCACAGGUGUACUACUCCAAGCAAGAUAAUCCUAUAGAUCCCACCUGUAUUCCAAACAGUAAACACUUGAAAUAGUUAUAGUUUUUAUUUGUACAAAAAGCAAAUAUCUCUAUUGAUUUCCUUAUUAAUUUAGUAUAAACUUAUUGUAAAAAAAGAAAAUCUUUUUUGUCUAACUUAAAACAUUGGAUGUUUCAUUAGAGAAAAAAUUAACUAUUUAAAGGAUUCAAACUUCAACAUCAUUUGAGUCGUAAAAUUUGAUUUUGCUCUCCAACUUUAUCUACUUAAAAGUGUAAUUAAGCAUUUUAAGUAUUAUUGGAUUGAUCAAUUAAUGAUUUUCAAAUUAAAUUUUACUAAUCUAUUAAUUUAUCAGUUUUGAUUUUUAAAAUUCGUUUUCAUUUUAUGAUUUUUAAGAAAAAAUCUUAUCCACUUAACUUAAAAUUUUAUCUAAGUUCAAUGUGGCUUAUGGUUACGUGGACAUCUAGGGGGAACAGUCACAUACACACACCAAGAGUGCAUCAGCUCAAACGUGACACUUACAAGGUAAUCUCUCGCGUAAUUGUAAUCAAAUUACAUAAAUGUAAAAAUCAUUAUGGGACGUUGACGAUGUCUUAUUUCAAUAGUAAAGAGGAUGCUUUGAUACCUUUAAAUCUAAGAUUUAAAUUUUAUCAGGUGUGGGUUUAAUUUAUUUUUAUAUUUAUUUUAUUUGAUUUCAACUAAAAGUGUAACAAAGUGACAUGAAUUUUUCUAUAGAUAAGUUUUAGUUGAUUCUCUACAUUUUAUAAAUCUAUUUAAUGAGAUCUAUAUUAAUAAACAAGUUACAAUUUUUGAUUUAAUUCUGGUUUAAUUAUUUUCAAUUAAGAAUUUAUCAACUCAUUUGCAUUCUAUCUACCUAAAUUUUAGAUGUUUACAUUAGUAAUAUGAUCAAACAAAACACAAAAGAAGAUUCAUUACAAUUACUUCAUUCGUCGUCUGAAAACAACAUUCUUACAUUUUCUUUCGGUACAUCACUAUAUAUAGAAAAUUAGAAUAUAAAAGGCCAAUAAUGUCAACAUUUGAGAAGACAACUGAAGAUUAGGACUGGAAUUAAAGUUCAAACACGUAACUACUGAUUUGGACACCAUAGAAUUUGUCUCAUUAACAAUUAUAUGACUCGCCGAUAUCCAUAUAAAUUAUUUUAGAUUACACGAGGAGCAUCAAAUAUGAGAAUUAAGAAAUACUUUCUUCACCUUAUUAUCAAUUAAUUUUAAAUUUAAUAUUUUUUAAUAAUAAAAUUUCACAUGGCAUAAAAGUAAUGUCUACUCCCAUUUGUUCUCCCUUCAUCAUAGACGUGAUACAUUUUUUGUAUGAAGUUCAUAUUGUAUGAUAAUUUAUUAUUCUGACAAGUGAAAAAUACAUGUCACAUAAUAAGUCUAUAAUUUAUAUACAUAACGGAAAAUGUUAAUGAUGAUAAAUAAAUCCCAUAUAUAUAGCCUAAAUUAAUUACCAAAUUAGUGAACUAGAUCUCUUUCUAUUAAGAAUUGAUUUAAAGCAUAAAAUAUUGACAUUUCUGUUUGAAGAUAAGAUUAAAGAAAAUUGACUGGAAAUUUCAAUUUUAAACUUAACAAUAUUAAUUGAUGCCACAUAGCAAGCAAUUCAGCCUCCAUCUAAUCGUCUGAUUGACUUGUCAAAUAUUUUGGAAUCAUUAUUUCUUAGUCAAGUGGCUUUAAGCGUAACUUUCUGAUUAGGAUAAAAGAACAUUUCAUGAAACUUCAUAUUUGUUAAAAGGAAAAAACGCGUUGGUUUGAAUAGAAUAUGCUGGAAAGGCGAAAAGUUUAUUGCAAAGAAAAAUCUCAUUUGUUAAGAAUAGGCCUUGGUUAAUUAUAUACAUACUAGAAAGAGGCCGCGCUUUGCUGCGGAUUUAUAAAUAUUUUUUAAAUAAUUGGUAUAAAAAAUUUUGUAAAAGAGAAAAAUACAACACGUUUUAAUAUUUAAUUUUUAGUCAAAAUAAAAAAAAAUCUUAUAAUAAACUUAAAAUUAUUCUAAAAAAAAUUAUAUUUAUAAAAAAUCAAGUUUUUAUCAUCAUAGCCAAGAAGCAAAAAAAGCAAAGAGACAUCAAAGAAAAACAUCAAAAUCAAACAAUCUCAAAACUUCAGUCACCUGAAGAACCCAAAAUGCAUAAAAUAGAUACAAAAAUCCAGAAAAAUACAAGAAAUCAAAAUCAAUACAAAUAUAGGAAAAACACAUCCAUACGAAAAGGUUUGAAAAUCUCAACCGAUUGAAGAAGCAAAAAGGCUGCACAACCCGAAAAAUGUAACAAAUCCAAACCAAUAGAAAAUAAUGGAUGAAAGAACAAAAGAGCCGCGACAAUCGAAGAGAAGAAACCAAAAUACCAUAGUGAAGCAAACCAAAGAGGUAGAGAGAAAGAAAAUAAGGAAAAAAUCGUAGAAAACCAAACAUGAGAAAAGAAGAGGCAGAUAGAAAGAAAUGAAGAACAGAUAAGAAAAACGUCAGACUGAAAAAUAAGAAUGAGGGAAAGAAAAACAUGUAUGAAACAGGCUAUAAAACCAAAGAGAAGGGAAGUUUCUAGAUGGUAGUGAAAAUUAAACUUUAAAUGCCCAUUCCCUUUCGUUCAAAAACCUAAAAAACCCUUCCUUUAUACAUAAAAAAUCAAAAUUAUUGCUAAGUUGUUCAAAAACCUAAAAAACCCUUCCUUUAAUUCUCUUGAUUAAAACUCCAAAAUACCCUCCAUACAGACACAAAUUACAAUGCCACAUGUCAUCUCUUGAAAAUCCUUUAUAAGUAAAAAUAUAAUACUUAAAAUAAUAUUUAACCACGUGUCAUUCAAAGAAGGCCACAACGUGUUCAACUUGGAAGCUCCUAUGGGGUUUAUAGAGCUGCCUUUCAAGAAAUAAAAAAAAAAAUAUCUGCUAUCUAGAGCAAGCUAAAGUAAGGUACAAGGAUCAGAAAAAUGACGAGGGAGUUGGUAAUUCUUGGUGGCAGUGUCCCGAGAGGGGAAGCAGGGGUCUCUGGUGGCCUGUUCUUGCUUUGCAUGAUUGUUUUCUCCCUCUCAAUUAUCACAAUGGUCUUCUUCGCUUGUGGUGAUGACAACUCUGAAAAGCCUCGCCCUAAUCAUGGUGCAGGGGGUUUUUGGGCGGGCGGUGGCGGUG
rnacentral:lncRNA from 1 species